CCAAACUCGGUUAAGCGUAACCGCUGCGUAAUUGUGAUUAAGAACUAACCCCCCCAAUUUCGGCCGUUUAUCGUUCUUAAUCGCGGUUAGUUUCCGGAGAUAUUGAUAAUUUUAUCAAUUAUUAAAAUAUUUAAAAAAUAUUAACAAAAUAUUUUCUAUUUUGUAUGAGGAUUUUGUAUUUUGUUUAAACUUCAAGUGUUUUGUAAAUGUGUUUUUUGGUUUCAAAUAUAUUUAUAUAUUUACAAAAUGCAACGAGCUCGUAAACGUGUGUUUCAACUUUGUUUUGAAAACGAUGAAGACGACGAAAAUGACUUCAUAAUUUUCGCUGUCCGCCAUCCAAGAUGGAUACGGGAAAGGGCCGAAGACUUCGAUAGUCUGGAUGAUCGGGAUUUCAUUAUGAGGUACAGACUGACAAAACCCACAGUUUUGUCAAUUCUGGAAAAAAUAGAACAUCAUCUUGAGUAUGAAACAGACAGAAAUAACUGAAUAUCCCCGAUUAAUCAGUUAUUAUGCACUCUUCGAUUUUCUGCCACUGGAUGCUUUCAAACCACUGCAGGGGAUCUAUGUGGCUUUAGUUCCUCAACAGUAAAUAGGAUAGUGCAUAAAGUUAGUUAUACUAUUGCGUCCUUGCGUAGUCAAUAUAUUAAAUUUCCUGGAACACCAGAGGAAAUAAGACGAACCCAGUUAAAUGUUUACAGAAGAGCCAAGUUCCCAAGAGUCAUCGGUGCUAUUGACUGUACCCAUGUGAAGUUGUGGCAAUCACCAGGUGGAGAAUCUGCUGAGCGUUUCCGAAACCGCAAAGGAUAUUUUUCGUUGAACGUUCAGGCGAUAUGCAACUCUAAUUUAGAAAUAAUGGAUGUUGUUGCAAGAUAUGAUGGAAGCACUCAUGACUCCAGAAUAUUUCAAGAGUCAAAAAAAAAGAGUUUUUUUUUAGCAAGGAGUUUAUGGGGACGCAGUACUGGUAGGAGAUAGUGGCUAUGCCUCUGCAAAUUACAUGAUGAUGCCAUACACCAGCGGAAAACUUGUAUAAUGAGUCACAGAUGAGGACAAGAAAUGUCGUUGAAAGAUUUUUCGGGGUUUGGAAAAGACGUUUUCCAGUAAUGGCUUUAGGUUUACGAGUAAAACUGAUGCGUGUUUUCCCUAUCAUCACUGCAACAUUAGUAUUGCAUAAUAUUGCUCGAAGAGCUGGAGA